rnacentral:tRNA from 1 species
GCCCGGAUGGUGGAAUCGGAAGACACAAGGGAUUUAAAAUCCCUCGGCGUUCGCGCUGUGCGGGUUCAAGUCCCGCUCCGGGUACCA